AGUUCAAUGUGAAUUUCCAGGAAACAACAAAUAAUAUUUUAGUAUAAGCUUGUCCCAUGCAGUAUUUGGGACAUACUUAUACUAAAAAAAAAAUUGUUGUUUGUUGGAAAUUCAAAUUGAACU
rnacentral:miRNA from 1 species